UGAGGAACAUGACUUUCGGCGGGGGAUAGCCGGCCCAACGGCUGGGUAAUACCGCGUACGACCUUUUGGGGACAUCCCCGAUUGGUGAAAGCAGCAAUGCGCCGAAAGAGUGCCUCGCGGCCUAUCAGCUAGUUGGUGGGGUAACGCUCACCAAGGCGACGACGGGUAGCUGGU
rnacentral:rRNA from 1 species